AAUUAUAGGCCACCACAUUUUCGUAAGAAAGUAAGUAUAUCUAUUUAGUUGGAUCAAUUAUGGGAUCGGCACAUUAAAGUUUGUGCUUUUGUGGAGAUAGAAAAAUUUCACAGUAUUCACAAAUUGAGGUACUUUUACCUAAUGUCGUUUUACAGUUUCAUUUUUUACAACUUUGUA
rnacentral:sRNA from 1 species